rnacentral:rRNA from 1 species
ACGGGAGGCAGCAGUAGGGAAUAUUGCACAAUGGGGGGAACCCUGAUGCAGCAACGCCACGUGUGGGAAGAAGCAUUUCGGUGUGUAAACCACUGUCGUGAGGGAAUAAUGCUUGAUUUCGGUCAAGUUGAAUGUACCUCGAAAGGAAGCACCGGCAAACUUCGUGCCAGCAGCCGCGGUACUACGAGGGGUGCAAGCGUUGUUCGGAGUCACUGGGCGUAAAGGGAGCGUAGGCGGAGACGCAAGCAGUCUGUACAAUACCGGGGCCCAACCCCGGACCUGCAGACUGGACUGUGUCUCUUGGAUAGUGCAGGGGCAGGCGGAAUUCCUGGUGUAGCGGCGGAAUGCGUAGAGAUCAGGAAGAACACCGAUGGCGAAGGCAGCCUGCUGGGGACUCAUCGACGCUGAGGCUCGAAAGAGCGGGUAGCAAACAGGAUUAGAUACCCUGGUA